CUGACCUCGGAUCAGACGUGAUUACCCG
rnacentral:rRNA from 1 species